GGGCAGGCUGGAUCAGGCCGGGACUCUGAGUGUCAGGGAGGGUUAGGUUAGGAGGAAAUUUGAGGUUGGGGUAGGAGCUGUCUGGGGAUGCCGCAGGGGGAGGGUUCUCACGCCGCACGGGGCGGAGCCCCGGCACUCGGGGCGGGACCUGAAUCAGAGACGGGUGGAACCUGUGAGCGGGUACCUGUGGAAGGCGGGACUCUGGGGCUGGGGGCGGAGCUAGGACUGGUGAGGGGCGGAGUCUGGACCUUAAAGGAGGAGCUGGAACAGGUGGAAGGCGGAGCCUCGGGCUUGGAAACUGAAGGGGACCCGGACCAAGCGCUGGGGGCGGGGCUUCAGUCGGUGAGUGGCUUAGUUACAGUUAAGGAAAAGGGAUCGGGUUCUGUCGAGGGUGGGGCUCCAGGGCCCGGGGCGGAAUUACGCCCUCUAAAGGGUGGGGCCAAGGAACCAAACUCAGGAGUAGGCCCAGGUAAUGGCCCAGGUAAUGGCCCAGGUAAUGGCCCAGGGCGUCCACGUGGGGGCGGUCUCCGUGGUGGCCGAGCCUGGGAGCGUGGUAGGCCGAGAACCCCCCCAGGAGAGGUGGUGUGGGUGGAGCGGGCUCGGCGGCCACCCGACACCGGACCGGUCUGGGUGCCCCGCAGACCCCCCAGGGCUCAGAGCUGGGGCGGCACCUCGGGCGGAGGCACAGGGUCGGCCUGGGGGGUAUCCCCAGAGGAUCGGGGCUCCCCGGAGCCACCCAGCGGCGAUGUGUGGGUGCCUCGGGGCCGGCCCCCUGCAGCGGCGGCAGAGGUGUGGGUGUGCUGGGCAGGGGGCAACUGGGUGUGGCGUGAGUGGUGUGGCCCGGUUCAGGCCACUGCUGUGCAGCCAGAGAGAGUCUGGACUUUUCGUAAAGGAAAGGGUGGGAAUUGAACGGAGCUGGGAACCAGGAGGGAAGGAAGGGCUGAGGGUGAACAAAGGGGCGGGGCCCUGGCUGCUGUGGCCUCCCCUGACCCCCUCCCCGCGCUGCUGGGGUCCUCGGGCAAGCCCCCUUCUCACUGGACAGGUAUUCCAUGCCCUUCCUGCCCUUCCGGUCGAUUGGUCGGUCGGGGUCUGUUCCCGCAGAGACAUGAGAGUCAG